CGGUGUUUAACUGGCGUGAUGUGGGACGUCCUACCGGUGGGCUUAGCCUCGCGAGGGGCGGCCCAACUAAUAUCCCGUCGUCGGUGCUCUUUACUGAGUGUCGAGUCGGGCCGGUACGUUUACUUUGAACAAAUUAGAGUGCUUAAAGCAGGCUAUCCUCGCCUGAAUACUGCGUGCAUGGAAUAAUGGAAUAGGACCUCGGUUCUAUUUUGUUGGUUUUCGGAACCCCGAGGUAAUGAUUAAUAGGGACAGAUGGGGGCAUUCGUAUUGCGACGUUAGAGGUGAAAUUCUUGGAUCGUCGCAAGACGGACAGAAGCGAAAGCAUUUGCCAAAAAUGUUUUCAUUAAUCAAGAACGAAAGUUAGAGGUUCGAAGGCGAUCAGAUACCGCCCUAGUUCUAACCAUAAACGAUGCCAGCUAGCGAUCCGCCGAAGUUCCUCCGAUGACUCGGCGGGCAGCUUCCGGGAAACCAAAGCUUUUGGGUUCCGGGGGAAGUAUGGUUGCAAAGCUGAAACUUAAAGGAAUUGACGGAAGGGCACCACCAGGAGUGGAGCCUGCGGCUUAAUUUGACUCAACACGGGAAACCUCACCAGGCCCAGACACCGGAAGGAUUGACAGAUUGAUAGCUCUUUCUUGAUUCGGUGGGUGGUGGUGCAUGGCCGUUCUUAGUUGGUGGAGCGAUUUGUCUGGUUAAUUCCGAUAACGAACGAGACUCUAGCCUGCUAAAUAGGCGUACCUUAUGGUAUCGCGAAGGCCCCCGGCUUCGGCCGGUGGGUUUUUACUACCAACGUACAAACAAAUCUUCUAGAGGGACAGGCGG
rnacentral:rRNA from 1 species